rnacentral:rRNA from 1 species
GCCUAGCGGUACCACACAAUCAAAUUNCCAAUUGUUCGCCAAACAACUACGAGUANCACUUAAAACUUUAAAAGACUUGCGGUACUUCACCCCGACCUAGAGGAGCCUGUCUAAUAACCGACAACCCACGAUUAACCCAACCACUUCUUGCCCAACAGUCUAUAUACCGCCGUCGCCAGCUUACCUUGUAAAAGAAAUAAAGUGAGCUAAACAGUAACACACUAAAACGACAGGUCGAGGUGUAACUUAUGAAGGGGGCCAAGAUGGGCUACAUUCUCCAACAGAGAAUACGAACAACACUAUGAAAUUAAUGUUUGAAGGCGGAUUUAGCAGUAAGAUAAGAACAAAACACUUAACUGAACACAACGCAAUGAAGUGCGCACACACCGCCCGUCAUCCCUGCCACCAC